UCCACGCCCUAAACGAUGAAUGCUAGUCGUCGGAACGCUUGUCGUUUCGGUGAUGCAGUUAACACAUUAAGCAUUCCGCCUGGGGAGUACGGUCGCAAGAUUAAAACUCAAAGGAAUAGACGGGGACCCGCACAAGUGGUGGAGCAUGUGGUUUAAUUCGAAGAUACGCGAAGAACCUUACCUAGACUUGACAUACCGAGAAUCCACCAGAGACGGAGGAGUGCCUGCUUGCA
rnacentral:rRNA from 1 species